GAUGAACGCUAGCUACAGGCUUAACACAUGCAAGUCGAGGGGUAACGAGAGGAAAGCUUGCUUUCCUUGUCGACGACCGGCGCACGGGUGAGUAACGCGUAUCCAACCUGCCCCCAACUAGGGAAUAACCUUGCGAAAGUAAGACUAAUACCCUAUAAUUUCCUCAGAUGUCAUCUGACGAGGAAUAAAGAUUUAUCGGUUGUGGAUGGGGAUGCGUCUGAUUAGCUUGUUGACGGGGUAACGGCCCACCAAGGCAACGAUCAGUAGGGGUUCUGAGAGGAAGGUCCCCCACAUUGGAGCUGAGACACGGUCCAAACUCCUACGGGAGGCAGCAGUGAGGAAUAUGGGUCAAUGGGCGGAAGCCUGAACCAGCCAAGUAGCGUGCAGGAUGACGGCCCUAUGGGUUGUAAACUGCUUUUAUACAGGAAUAAAGUUAGCCACGUGUGGUUAUUUGUAGGUACUGUAUGAAUAAGGACCGGCUAAUUCCGUGCCAGCCGCCGCGGUAA
rnacentral:rRNA from 1 species